CGCCCACUAGCGCACGCAGGAGACGCGGCGCACGUAGAGGGCUGGAGCGCGGUGACGUGGCCGCUGCGGAUUGGCGGAGCGGGUUCGCAGGGGAAAGGCGGAGCCUGAGGAGCCCCAGGCUGGCUCUGCGGCAGCGCGGCAGCGCCAGUGCCGGCGAGCCUGUUGAAACUGCGUAAGCGGUGAUCUACACGACAGCGAGGAAGUUACUCGUACCGGGCCAGUGGCGCAAUGGAUAACGCGUCUGACUACGGAUCAGAAGAUUCUAGGUGCCUGGCUCAGAGACCUGGGAGGGCCGGAAACGUCUGCGGCGGAGAGGGGACUCGAAGCCAGGGAGUGGCUGAGACAUCCAACGCUGUCCAUUAACCAGUCACACUGAUCGAUUGAUUAAUCUGUCCAAUAUAACGUGUUUUUCCUCUUGAGGAAAUAUAGAACAUUUGUAAACUACCGAAAAUGAUUGGGAAUAAAAACAAUGCCAGUUCUCAUCGCAGAUCAUUACUAUUCACAUAAUUUCCCCCCCCUCCCCUUAGAGGCCUUUCCCCCGCCCCGCCCCCCACAUUUUUAAUAUGGAUCUACCCACACGUAUUUUUCCAAAUUUCCCGCUUGUACCAGAAAUGUCUUCGUUUUCUUUUUGUCCCUUUAGCUUUUUUGCCUGAUAUGUAAGGUCAUUAAAUAUUCUCCGAAGAUAUCUCAUUAGAGUAUAUUUUAAGCAUUACUCUUUUGUUGGGAAUUUAGGUUGUCAGUUUUACAUUUUUUAAAAAGAAUUCUGUUAUUUCAUAUACGUCAUAAAUUUAUAGAUGUGAAAUGAUCAAGUGGACAUUUUUAAGGUCCAUUUUGUGGACAUUUUUAACCCAUGGUACGUAUUUUAAAAUUGCCCUCCAAAAAAAAUCCAAUAAAAUCUUCUAUUAAU